ACAAACUUGGUCAUUUAGAGGAAGUAAAAGUCGUAACAAGGUUUCCGUAGGUGAACCUGCGGAAGGAUCAUUCACAAUAAGUGUUUUAUGGCACUUUUUAAAUCCAUAUCCACCUUGUGUGCAAUGUUAAUCGCUAAGUUGGCUAGUAAUAGUUUGCUUAGCGGUCUUUAUAUCAACUUAUUAUUUUUAACGUUUUUGUCUGAAUAAACAUUGUGAAUUUAAACUUAAUUCAACAAUAUAACUUUCAACAACGGAUCUCUUGGCUCUCGCAUCGAUGAAGAACGCAGC
rnacentral:misc_RNA from 1 species